GACGAACGCUGGCGGCGUGCUUAACACAUGCAAGUCGAACGGAAAGGCCCUGCUUUUGUGGGGUGCUCGAGUGGCGAACGGGUGAGUAACACGUGAGUAACCUGCCCUUGACUUUGGGAUAACUUCAGGAAACUGGGGCUAAUACCGGAUAGGAGCUCCUGCUGCAUGGUGGGGGUUGGAAAGUUUCGGCGGUUGGGGAUGGACUCGCGGCUUAUCAGCUUGUUGGUGGGGUAGUGGCUUACCAAGGCUUUGACGGGUAGCCGGCCUGAGAGGGUGACCGGCCACAUUGGGACUGAGAUACGGCCCAGACUCCUACGGGAGGCAGCAGUGGGGAAUAUUGCACAAUGGGCGGAAGCCUGAUGCAGCAACGCCACGUGCGGGAUGACGGCCUUCGGGUUGUAAACCGCUUUCGCCUGUGACGAAGCGUGAGUGGCGGUAAUGGGUAAAGAAGCACCGGCUAACUACGUG
rnacentral:rRNA from 1 species